UACGGAGGGUGCAAGCGUUAAUCGGAAUUACUGGGCGUAAAGCGCACGUAGGCGGUUAGUUAAGUCGGAUGUGAAAGCCCCGGGCUCAACCUGGGAAUUGCAUACGAUACUGACUGGCUAGAGUACGAGAGAGGGGGGUAGAAUUCCAGGUGUAGCGGUGAAAUGCGUAGAUAUCUGGAGGAAUACCGGUGGCGAAGGCGGCCCCCUGGUUCGAUACUGACGCUGAGGUGCGAAAGCGUGGGGAGCAAACAGG
rnacentral:rRNA from 1 species